GAUGAACGCUGGCGGCGUGCCUAAUACAUGCAAGUCGAGCGAACGGACGAGAAGCUUGCUUUUCUGAUGUUAGCGGCGGACGGGUGAGUAACACGUGGAUAACCUACCUAUAAGACUGGUAUAACUUCGGGAAACCGGAGCUAAUACCGGAUAAUAUUUUGAACCGCAUGGUUCAAAAGUGAAAGACGGUCUUGCUGUCACUUAUAGAUGGAUCCGCGCUGCAUUAGCUAGUUGGUAAGGUAACGGCUUACCAAGGCAACGAUGCAUAGCCGACCUGAGAGGGUGAUCGGCCACCCUGGAACUGAGACACGGUCCAGACUCCUACGGGAGGCAGCAGUAGGGAAUCUUCCGCAAUGGGCGAAAGCCUGACGGAGCAACGCCGCGUGAGUGAUGAAGGUCUUCGGAUCGUAAAACUCUGUUAUUAGGGAAGAACAUAUGUGUAAGUAACUGUGCACAUCUUGACGGUACCUAAUCAGAAAGCAACGGCUAACUACGUG
rnacentral:rRNA from 1 species